UCCAGGGUGAGAUCUAAAACUUGUAGGACACCGGCCCUCGAGGCCUGGAGUUCGACACCCCUGCUGUAGAUGAUCAGUGACUCAGGUUACCAGUAAACAUUAAAAGGUACCUCUCUGUCUGUGUGUCUGUGUUGAACCUUUUAUAAUCAAAUUCUAAGUUUUGGACUUUUCCCUUUGAAGACACGUUGAAGAGCUCACAGAGAUUUGAAGUUGCAGAUUUAGGAGCAUUAGGCCCGAUGAUGGUGUGUAAUGCCUGUACUUACCUUCUGCACUGUGUUUUUGUUACUAAUUUAUGUUUCUUGUUGUUUAACACAGAUUUCAGAGGAGCACUUUUAAAGUAUCCUUAAUACUUUCAAGCAGAACUGGAUUGGAAACCAAAAAAAGCUUUUUCUGAGCCAUGAGAGCUGACGGGAUACAACUUUUUAAAAUCAGAAACAAAGGUACAGUGAAUGAUAUUAACGGCAGGGAAACAACACUGGGGGAAGACAAGAAGGAGAAGUGUUUCCAGGAGGAAGCUGCAGUGAGGACACACUGAGGUCAGAGGUCAGAAGCUGAAACAGCUCAGCUUUAUAUGCUAGGUUACAGAAACAAAUCUAAAUAUAUUUAUAAAUAAACUUUAUAGUGAUAUUUUAAAUAAUAAUCAUCAUUAUGAUUAAAAUAUCAAACACUUCAGUGGAUUUUGUGUCACAUGUAUUGUGUUGGCCCUGUGAUAACCUGGCAGCCUGUAAACAAACAGGAAAGCAGACGUGUGCGAUAUAAAUGUAAAUGUGCUACAUACGUAUGCUGAAGUGUGUCAUCAGGUUUGUCUCAUGCUGAUGGACCUGCAUUCUUACAUUGAAGAGACUGUUAAAGUCUUGCAUUCAGUUAACAAUAACGGGUCCAGUCUGUUUGGUUAAAUCCAGUUUGUUGUCUAUUUAUUCACACGUUUUCUUAAGUGCGUAUCCAGCUCAGCAUCACAGUGGAGCUGGAUUUGUUCAAUAAAUAAACCUCCAAAAGUUAGCAAUAAACCUGCAUCCGUGUACGUCGUUGUCCACAGGAUGAGACAAUCAAAGUGAUCAAACUGGAAGACUGUGGAACAUGUUAAUGUUUGUGUGUUUGUGUCUUUCUAACAGUUCCUGGUGAAUCACAGCAGAACCAUAAAGGCUGCUGGACUGCAGGACGGCUUAGCCCUGAGAAGCCAUCCAGUUACAGGAGGAGCAGGACAUUUAAGGACGUCUUUUGAGCGUCUAGUUGGAUGUUAUUCUGGUCACGCCCAUGGUCAUUUGCAACAAUGGACGUACUUUUCAUGUUCAUCCAGUAACUUAGUAAAUCAUAAAACAUUGUUAUCAUAAGACCUUUGGAGUGACGGCUUCUACAAGGAAGAGUCACAGUGUUGGAUGCUCGACGCAAAGAGAAAAGCUCUUUACAGUUUUUAAUCAUUCUGACCAUAAACAGCUUUUCCAGGUUUGAUAUUCUUUGACAUACAAGUCGGAAUAUGGAAAUUAAUUAAAAGGUUCCUAUGUCACAUUGAGCCAUUUACACUAACCAGUGACAGUAUGACUAUGUGCACAGAUGUGCUUCCAAGCUAGAAGCUCUACUCAUGUUCAGCCAAACACCUAACAGGGAACAGGUACUCCAGCCCAAGCCGACAUGAUAUAACCGCACAUACAGCCCAGCCACAAAGUGAACCAACUCAUUGAGUUACAGACAACAGGGCACCAAAUGCACCCAGAGUCUAAACUAACCAGCCUGCACCAAACUGACAUUUCUUCCUCCUAAGUUAAAUGGAUGGAAGUUAAAUACGUACAUAAAAACAUAAAAACCACUUUUUUCCACACAGGAGUUCCCUGACACCGAGUGUUAGUUGUACUGAACAGAUACCAACAAUCGUAAGACUACCGGAGACAAUGCACUGAAUUAUUGUUAUCCUAAUUAUUUCACCCGACUGGUUUCAGCUCCGAUGUUCUGCUUUUUCCUUUUGGUAGAUCAAAGAGAAUCGUGACGUUUCUGCUUCCAUUUUGAUUCCAAGAAGAAGAACGCUUCAAAGAAGUGGCGUUCAUGGUCCACAGUGUGACGAUCGUGGCCACACACUGCAUGUGCUUUUUAAAGCAACAUGUUUCUUCACUUCAAAAACUUUGACAUAUGCCUUGUUGUUUGGAUAUGUGUAAUAUUAGUGCAUGUUAGGGUUUUUUACUGAAAAUUGUUCACGUCUGUUUUGUAUUUUGAUGAUCGCAGCAAAGAUACUGUUUUAAAAAGUUUUGUUUUCAGAGCCUUUCUUUAAAAUCCUGAGCCUGUAGUUUUACAUGAAUGUUACGUUUUCAUUUCUGAUCUUGUAAUGCUUGCACUACACUGUGCACGUCUGCAUUAGAGACAUCUUAGUUACCUAUUUGUGAGACUGAGCUGCUUGACUAUUAUUUGGAAGUGUAUGUAAAAAGCACGAUAUCGUUUCUUUUUUAAUGUGAUGGACUGAACUCAGGAGGUAUCUGCUUUUGACCAAAGAUUAAUCUGAUCUCAUUUCUACCUGUAUCUACUGUUUCAAGAUUUAGCUGAAGUUUGCUCAACUUUAAUUGUUUAUUCCAGCUCUCAUAGUGCAGCCAUGAGACAGACCUAUUAAACUCAAUGCACGAUGUAAAGUUCAUAAUUCUCUGACAAAUAAAACUGUAAUAGCAAACAUGAACAGCUGUGCUUAUUUCUGAGAUAUGAAUGUUUGUAAACAUAACUUUAUUUUUCAAAUGUGUUCAUAUUUAGAGAGUUAGAGACGGUGAUGGUGAAUCUGAGCUGAUGGUCAGCAGAAAGUAAAUAUCUCUUUGUACCUUCAGGCUUAGAGGGAACAUGUUCUGCCCGGUGUUGUAG